CCUACGGGUGGCAGCAGUGGGGAAUAUUGCACAAUGGGCGCAAGCCUGAUGCAGCCAUGCCGCGUGUAUGAAGAAGGCCUUCGGGUUGUAAAGUACUUUCAGUCGUGAGGAAGGUGUUAAGGUUAAUAACCUUAGCAAUUGACGUUAGCGACAGAAGAAGCACCGGCUAACUCCGUGCCAGCAGCCGCGGUAAUACGGAGGGUGCGAGCGUUAAUCGGAAUUACUGGGCGUAAAGGGCACGCAGGCGGUUAAUGAAGUGUGAGGUGAAAUCCGUGGGAUUAACCUGGGAAUUGCAUUCAAGGUUGGUUAGCUAGAGGCUUGUAGAGGGGGUUAGAAUUCCGUGUGUAGCGGUGAAAGGGGGAGAGAUGUGGAGGACUACCGGUGGCGAAGGCGGCCCACUGGACGAAGAGUGACGCUCAUGUGCGAAAGCGUGGGGAGCAAACAGGAUUAGAUACCGCGGAAGU
rnacentral:rRNA from 1 species